GUUUAUGUUUCUGUCGCCGCAGAUAACUGUCACAUGUAAAGGGCGGUCGCUCCCCAAGACGUACAUAGGGAUUAAAUUAAAUUACAAAAGAAAAUAGCAACGCACAGUGAUUUGGAUAAAUCUCAGUUCUGGAUGGAUCUCAUGAACGAUUUGAAGGAAAGACAUCUCUUCAAUGGAAGUCAUGACCACACAUGCCUUGUGCGGUUUGUCUUCAUGGAUAUGCUACAGAGAGAUCUUGAUGAAUGCAAGGACAGGUGGAAUAAACAUACCAUAAGACCUGUUAAACAAUCUUGCUGUCCAUCUGGUAAACCAGAUGUGAUGUAUCAUCUACCUCACAGGUUUGGUGGAACAGACUGUGGUUUCCCAGUCUCCCAGGAGCAAUUGGGACAGUUUGUGACAGAGACUAACAACAUUCA